GAGGCUUCGUAGGCGGGUUUGCCGCUGUGGUGCCUCUGGGAUCAGGCUCGAUCCCAGCGGUUCACAUUGCCUGCAGAACAAGGCUGGCCUCCCUUAGCCUGGUUUUGCACAUACAUGUGAAUAGCCACACUGAGUUCUUUUCCACCAAGUUUCUAAAUAGACUAAGAAUGAGGUUUAUUAUUCUUAGAAUUAGGUUUAUUAUUCCACACUAAAAAAAACCCCAGCAACAACAACAACAACCCAAAAACAUGGCUUACAAGCAGUAAAACCAAUGCAAGCAAUAACAUAUUAAAUCAUACAAUUCAAGCAGCAUAUUUAAAAAGCAAGUAGGAGCCAGGGAACCGACUGACUGUAGUUAUCAGAUACUUUAAACGAAAGGAGUUUAGUACAUUGGUCCACCUAUGAACCUCUCAAAUAAGAUCUGAAGGAGGUUACCAGGACAUUUUUCACACGGCAGGCUUUACCACAGGUUUACUGCGAGGCUUUACUGCAAGUUCCAAGUUGCAAAAAACAAAACAAAACAAAAGCAAAAAGUGGAUUUUUCUAACCCUCCCUGGAUAUAAAUCGAACUGCAUUCAAACACACAAUGAAAACCCCAAAUCAUGAGUUAAGUGCUCCCCAAUAGCUCACAGGGACCUUGGGUUAAAAUCUGGAUGAUAUGUGAACACACAUCCUCCAUUCCGGAGGAGAUGCGAGCUAAAAGCCCUGUGUGGAAAACGCCCAGGUUUGGUGAUCUGCUUCUGAUAUAUCCCAAUAUUUAGCUCUCCUAGUUUUUAGUGUUGUAGGGCUGGUGUAUGGUAGGGCUGGUGUAUGUUUAGUGCUUGCCCUUGACAUUUACUUUAAGCACAUCUCCUCUGGAGUAUGGAGGUAGGGAUCUCAGGUUCUUCUUUUUACUGAAUUCUGGCUUAGUUACUUUCAAAUAUCAAGACGACAAAUCCGUGAACCACUGAGUGAAAUUUGAAUUGUGAACCGCAAUUCAAAACUACAAAAUUGUGCAAAUGCCUUGCUGGCAUGGGGCAGCAAGCAGUCAGAGGGGGAAGGCAAGUGCACAGUGUGGAAAAGGGAGUGGAAGGGGUGGGAGGCACCCCCCCCCGACAGACACAGCUGACAGCCCUGAGCAUUUGUCCCCCACUCGCCCAAUGGUGACAAUACCACGGACACAUUAUCAGGGGCAUAGCGAGGGGAGAGGGGACCUGUAUUGACCCCUCUUCCUAGCGGCCCCUCAGAGUGAGGGAGAUAAAGAAAAUAAGGAGGGGUGGAGCUGGGGGGCCCUUAGGAGCUGGGGAUCGGGUUCUUUGAACCUUUUCACUCAGUUGUAGCUACACUCCUGCAUGUUAUGUUCAAUGCAUGUAAACAAGGGUAGGCAGACCUAGAACUUCUAGGAUCCACUUCUUCUUUUUUGCCAGAACCUUGGGAGCUAACAGCACAAACCAAUGGCUUGGGUAGGUGGAACCAGUCACAAAAGGCUUGAGGCAGUGGAGCCAGCUAGAACAUUUUACAGUGUAUAUAAAGAUUUAUGUCAACAGAAUAAGGGAUUUUAAUACCCAAACUGCAAAAAUGCAAGGCUUUUGCUGCAGGACAGGAGAGGAACAAGGGAAGCUGCUUUGAGGGAGAAGAGACGAGAUAGGUUUACGAGAGAGAAAGGAAAAGCAACCCUGAGCAUUCAGAGAGCAGAGGAAUUAAAAAUGGCAUGGCCAUGCCUUGACUCAGGCACCCAAUCAAAUUUGCAGUGGAGGACAGAGACAUCUGCUUUCUAUUAUGCAUGGCUAGAUGGGGAAGAAGAAAGAAUUUACAGUGUCAACAAGAGGAUAACUCUCUUUAACCACUUAUUCGUUAUUAAACAAAAAGAUUCCA